AUGGGAUGGAGCUGCAUCAUCCUCUUCCUGGUGACAGCAGCUACAGGUGUCCACUCUCAGGUCCAGCUGCAGCAGUCUGGGGCUGACCUGGUGAAGCCUGGUGCCUCAGUGAAGUUGUCCUGCCAGACUUCAGGCUUCAACUUCAUUAAUAGCUAUAUGCACUGGGUGAAACAGAAACCUGGACAUGGCCUGGAGUGGAUUGGAAGGAUUGAUCCAGAAAAUGGUGAUACUAAGUACAACCAGAAGUUCCAGGGCAAGGCCACAGUGACUGCAGAGACAUCAUCCAGCACCACCUACAUGGAGCCCAGCAGCCUGACAUCUGAGGACUCUGCUGUCUAUUACUGUGCAAUCACAUCCUGA